CCUAAAUCCUUCAUCAUCUUGUGGAACGAGGUUGGAGAUUUCCAGCAAAGUGGAAAUACAAGUCGGUGCUUGGCCUGUCGGGACUGUGUCGGCUCCCACUUCUGUUACUCACAGAGGGAUCCGGAGAAAAGGCUGCCGCACUGAGAAAGCUCCAUCACAGAGGACCGGCUUCCAAAGGUGAGAAUGUGGCGAUCCAGAGAUUAAGUAACUUGCCUAGCUUGACUCAGCGAGCACAAGAGAAAGGGCCUCUGGGCUUAUGGCUUUUACCAUCCCAGGCCAAUAUCCUUAAAUAUUGAGCUAUAAAUCCUACCAGCCAUAUUGGAUGAGCGAGAACUGUAUUUCCUGAGCCAUCUUCAUCAAUGUAAUCCGCUCCAAUUCACUCAGCAUUCAGUCAGGACUGCCCUGAGGAAGCCUGUGCCAGGGAACACGAUGGGUGGAGGUGUCUGAAUGUGCACUAUGAUCUGGUGUUCCAGAUCAUUCCAUGACCUCAGGUGGAGAACCUCAUGUUCAACUCAUCACUGCCCCUCAGCAAAGGGAAACCAAGCCGUCUUCAACCCAGAAAUUGUCCAGCCAGAAACACCACGGAGGACAGAGGUAUGCGCUGAAGAUCGCUGCCGCCUGGGUCCUGCGCGCACAGCCAGGAGGGUCCGC